AAGUUGAAUUGCUGUACAAUGUUUAUUGCUCUAUUUUUUGUUUCUGCUCCAAUUAUGCAUAGGUGUCUGAGGGCAAGGGUUGAAUGAGGAGAAAAAGAAAGAAACAAGAAGAUAAUGAACUUAGCUUUAAAGAUGUUGGACCCUUUGAUGAAGUUGGAUUGUUUUUCCAAGAAGCGUACUGGAAGAAACAACCUUUCUUCCUACUGAGUGUGAUUAGAAGCAUGGCUCUCCUGCUAACGACUGGCCUCCGUCUUGUGACCAGAAACAGAGCUUUAGAUGAAAGCUAAAGCCAGUUUUGGAUUGAAGCAAAAUACUGUAGAAGACAGAGAUGGAAGAAAUCUGUCUUCAGUAAUAUUGCGCCACUUGAUCAAGGCUUUGCAGACAUCUUCCAAGCCAGUGAUAUGUCUUCAUUAUUUAAGACAGUUUGAGUUUUAUUUAUCAUUAUAUGCAACAGAUUCCUGAACAAUGCACUCAUGUGGAAUGACAGCUUCUAUUCACUUGCUAUCUGAAAACAUUUCUUAACACAUAAUUCCCAUUUCCUUUUUCCCAUUAUUUUGAAGAAAAAAGAACUAUAAUUUCAAAUCAUAGCUCAUUGUCUAUUCAAGUUCAAGAUCAACCAUUUUCUCACCAGAUACUGUAAUCUCAGUUCUUUCAAAGAGAUCUCACAUGUCUGUUACUAAAUUUUAAUUAUUUACCUUGUUUUUCAUAUUUUUAUAUCAAA
rnacentral:lncRNA from 1 species